UGGCGGACGGGUGAGUAACACGUGAGCAACCUACCUUCGAGAGGGGAAUAACGGCUGGAAACGGUCGCUAAUACCGCAUAACAUACUGGAGGGACAUCCCUUUGGUAUCAAAGAUUAUAUCGCUCGGAGAUGGGCUCGCGUCCGAUUAGGUAGUUGGUGAGGUAACGGCUCACCAAGCCGACGAUCGGUAGCCGGACUGAGAGGUCGAACGGCCACAUUGGGACUGAGACACGGCCCAGACUCCUACGGGAGGCAGCAG
rnacentral:rRNA from 1 species